rnacentral:rRNA from 1 species
GUGGGGAAUAUUGGACAAUGGGCGAAAGCCUGAUCCAGCCAUGCCGCGUGAGUGAUGAAGGCCUUAGGGUUGUAAAGCUCUUUCAGUAGGGAAGAUAAUGACGGUACCUACAGAAGAAGCCCCGGCUAACUUCGUGCCAGCAGCCGCGGUAAUACGAAGGGGGCUAGCGUUGUUCGGAUUUACUGGGCGUAAAGAGCACGUAGGCGGAUUGGUCAGUUAGAGGUGAAAUCCUGGAGCUCAACUCCAGAACUGCCUUUAAUACUGCCAGUCUAGAGUCCAGAAGAGGUGAGUGGAACUCCUAGUGUAGAGGUGGAAUUCGUAGAUAUUAGGAAGAACACCAGUGGCGAAGGCGGCUCACUGGUCUGGUACUGACGCUGAGGUGCGAAAGCGUGGGGAGCAAACAGGAUUAGAAACCCCUGUAGUCC